ensembl:lncRNA
UGUAAACUGAAUAAACGGUUGCUGUUUCAAGCUACUAAGUUCUGGAGAAGUUUGUCACCCAGCAGAAAUUAACUUAUACAAUACUUAACAGCCAAAUUCUCCCCUGUAGGUAUUUUACCACUUUGUAAUCCCAACAGCAACAAAUGAGAGCAUCUUUUCCUCUCUGCUGUUAGAGUAUGUCGUUGAAAUUUUGGAUUUUCCCAUCUAAAAGGUUUGUUUACAGAGCCCUUGGGCACAUCGAAUGAAGGAAGGGAGAUCAGUUAAAUCCUGAUUUCAGCUUUUCAACAUGGAUGUGAACAACAUCCUGAGGGCAACUGGACUUUGAGUCAAAUUUUUACAAGUCUUGAAAGGUCAGAAACAAUCACAUCUUUAGAAGAAAUCUUUACACAGGAAAAUACACGUGGCUUUACUUACACCAUGCAAGAAAAUGGACAAAAUCCCCUCUUCCUUUUAAAGUUUUAAGUCAGAGUCAGGAAGAGUCUGGAGUCCCUUCCUUGCGCAACGCGUGCUGGUGGAGGAGAGGACUGGUCAGAGACAGCUGUGGAGCUCCCCACUGAGUUUCCAAAGGCCACAAGUCGGUUUCAGGAGGAGGAGUCAGAAAGAUCUGAAGCACAAGAAGGACGUGAUACUUCUUCACUGGCUCUAAAGACGGAGGGGCUGUGUCGAGAGGAUCUAGAACAGUCUCUACGAGCUGAGAGCAAGGCCCGGACAGCAGUCAGUGAAAACAGGACCCUCAGUGCUAGAGCCACAGAAACCAAAUUCUGCCAACACUCUGAGUGAGCACAGAGGGGAAUUCUUCCUCACAAAUCCUCUGAAUGACAAUGCAGCUUGGCUGGCGUCUGGAUUCCGCCUUGUGAGACCCUCAGCAGAGAACCAGCAGAGCCCACCUAGCUGCUGACCUACAGAACUUGAGAGAGUUUAACAUUUUGUUAAAUGUUAACAAAAUGCAUUGUUUUAAGCCAAUAGUUUGUGGCAAUUUGUCAUGUAGCAAUGGAAAAUCCAUACACCCACUCUAUCAGAGACGUUGAACUUUAAAAUCCCCCCAAAAAAUUAUUCUGUGGUGGAACAUAAAUAAUUAACAGAGAACUUGAAAUUCAGAAGGAGAAGCUAGCUAAUUAGAUAAGUGUUCAGACCCUGGAGAUCUAGAGGACUUGCACCUUACCGAGUACUGCGUUUAUAUUGUCUUAGUACUUGAGUACUAAUAUUUGACAAAAAUGUGAAUAUGUACAUGGAACGCCUAUUUCCAAGGAAGGGGUUGUAACAUUCGCUAACAUCCUGCAUUCAAGUAUUCUACAAUAUAUUUGCAGCCUUUGAAUUCUUUUCUUUGGCUCUGAUACCCACCUAUUCUACAGGAGCCUCCAGUAAUAUAAAAAAAUACCCAGAUAUCCUUCUUAGGUCAUAGUAAUUCAAAUUAACUUGUAAGAGACACGCUCUCAAAUCUUGUCUUUACGAGCCAACAUAAUCCCUGUGGGAAAGCCACCAAUGAAAACAGCUUUCAGAAUCCUACAAACCCAACUUUCUAUUUUCCAAGCCUGUCAUUUUCACUGGUUCAUGGGGAAAAAUUCAUUAAAGAAAAUGAAACUGUAUUUUCAUUCACCAAGGAAAUUCAUUCAAUUGUUCAUUUAACUCACAAGUACAGCAUUAAAUCAAGCUUUGCCCAUAUGCCUGCCAGAAUCCCCCUGAGACCUCUCAGAGCUGGGGAGGCAGCCACACCUUCCCUUCUAUGAUCUAUAACAGCUCUCAUUGACCUCUUAUCCGGUAGCGGAAACACCUGUUUAUUGCCUGUCUCGCCUGCUGAGAGCUCCUUGAGCAUCCUGUUCAUUGCGUAUUCCCUGGACCGAGCCCAGCAGCAGGGUCUUCACUUAAACAUCGU